CCCCAGAUGUUGCUGAACUACAACUCCCAUGAUUCUUUGAAUUACAUAUAUAGCCAGAUAAUCAUGGGAGUUGUAGUUCAGCAACAUCUGGGG
rnacentral:miRNA from 1 species